AUGGCCACCGGCUCCGGCUGCGUCCCCGGCGCUCUGCGCUUGGUUUCGUCGCGAGGACAGCCCUCCUCCUCCUCCUCCUCCCGCGCCCUGGUUCGUCUCCGCCCGCGCGUCGCCUCGUUCGCAGCCCCGCCUCCGCCUCUCCAUCGCGCCCUUCGUCCAGUUCCCGCCCCGCGCAUGACGCUCCGUGCUCCUCUUCCUCCUGCGAGGUGCCAGGGCCCCGCAACUCCGGAGACCCCCUUGGAGCCGCCAAGCCUUUGGCAAAAGGUGUUGCUGGCGUGUAAGCGUGUCUCCUGGAAGCACCUUACUUCACUGGCUCUGCUUAUUGGCUGCAUAGCAGUAGGUUACUUUGGAAACAAAGGGGACCCACGGGCCUUGCUGAUCAUUGAUAUACUUGACAAAGCAAAUAAAACAUACAAGCCUAGUCUGGAGUUCGCAGUUUUACUCAUAGCAGUUUUGGCUUCUCUCUCCUCGAGGUAG
rnacentral:rRNA from 1 species